rnacentral:rRNA from 1 species
UCGAGCGAGAAGACGUAGCAAUACGUUUGUAAAGCGGCGAACGGGUGAGGAAUACAUGGGUAACCUACCCUAGAGUGGGGAAUAACUAGCCGAAAGGUUAGCUAAUACCGCGUACGCUCCCUGGACUUCGGUUCAGGGGGGAAAGCGCUACCGAGGGUAGCGCGCUCUUGGAUGGGCUCAUGUCCUAUCAGCUUGUUGGUGAGGUAACGGCUCACCAAGGCUUCGACGGGUAGCUGGUCUGAGAGGACGAUCAGCCACACUGGCACUGCGACACGGGCCAGACUCCUACGGGAGGCAGCAGUAAGGAAUAUUGCGCAAUGGGCGAAAGCCUGACGCAGCGACGCCGCGUGGGGGAUGAAGGUCUUCGGAUUGUAAACCCCUUUCGGGAGGGAAGAUGGAGUGGGGUAACCCACUCGGACGGUACCUCCAGAAGCAGCCACGGCUAACUUCGUGCCAGCAGCCGCGGUAAUACGAAGGUGGCAAGCGUUAUUCGGAUUUACUGGGCGUACAGGGAGCGUAGGCGGUUCGGUAAGCCCUCUGUGAAAUCUUCAGGCUUAACCUGGAAAAGUCGGAGGGGACUGCCGGGCUAGAGGAUGGGAGAGGAGCGCGGAAUUCCCGGUGUAGCGGUGAAAUGCGUAGAGAUCGGGAGGAAGGCCGGUGGCGAAGGCGGUCAUCUGGCUCGUAACUGACGCUGAGGCAC